rnacentral:snRNA from 1 species
AUACUUACUGGCAGGGAGAUACCAUGAUCAAGAAGGUGGUUCAGGGGCGAGGCUCAGCCAUUGCACUCCGGUUGCGCUGACCCCUGCGAAUUCCCCAAAUGUGGGAGUCUCGACUGCAUAAUUUCUGGUAGUGGGGGACUGCGUUCGCGCUCUCCCCUG